rnacentral:rRNA from 1 species
UACGGGGGGGGCAAGCGUUGUUCGGAAUUACUGGGCGUAAAGGGCUCGUAGGCGGCCAACUAAGUCAGACGUGAAAUCCCUCGGCUUAACCGGGGAACUGCGUCUGAUACUGGAUGGCUUGAGUGUGGGAGAGGGAUGCGGAAUUCCAGGUGUAGCGGUGAAAUGCGUAGAUAUCUGGAGGAACACCGGUGGCGAAGGCGGCAUCCUGGACCAUUACUGACGCUGAGGCACGAAAGCUAGGGUAGCGAACGGG